GAUGCAGCGACGCCGCGUGGGCGAAGAAGUAUUUCGGUAUGUAAAGCCCUAUCAGCAGGGAAGAAGAAAUGACGGUACCUGAGUAAGAAGCACCGGCUAAAUACGUGCC
rnacentral:rRNA from 1 species